UACAGAGGGGGCAAGCGUUGUUCGGAAUUACUGGGCGUAAAGGGCUCGUAGGCGGCCUUCUAAGUCGAACGUGAAAUCCCCGGGCUCAACCCGGGACCUGCGUCCGAUACUGGCAGGCUUGAAUUCGGGAGAGGGAUGCGGAAUUCCAGGUGUAGCGGUGAAAUGCGUAGAUAUCUGGAGGAACACCGGUGGCGAAGGCGGCAUCCUGGACCGAGAUUGACGCUGAGGCGCGAAAGCCAGGGGAGCAAACGGG
rnacentral:rRNA from 1 species